AUUGAACGCUGGCGGCAUGCCUAACACAUGCAAGUCGAACGGGGCAGCAAUGCCUAGUGGCGGACGGGUGAGGAAUACGUAGGAAUCUGCCCUUAAGUGGGGGAUAACCAGGGGAAACCCUGACUAAUACCGCAUGAUCUCUUCGGAGCAAAGAGGGGGACCGCAAGGCCUCUCGCUUCUGGCUGAGCCUACGUCUGCUUCGCUAGUUGGUUGGGUAAAGGCCCACCAAGGCGACGAUCAGUAACUGGGCUGAGAGUAUGAUCAGUCACACCGGAACUGAGACACGGUCCGGACUCCUACGGGAGGCAGCAGUGGGGAAUAUUGGACAAUGGGCGCAAGCCUGAUCCAGCAAUGCCGCGUGUGUGAAGAAGGCCUUCGGGUUGUAAAGCACUUUAGCCUGGAAAGAAAAAACUUUGGUUAACACCCAAAGUCUUGACGGUACCAGGAGAAUAAGCACCGGCUAACUCUGUGCCAGCCGCCGCAGUAACAC
rnacentral:rRNA from 1 species